rnacentral:rRNA from 1 species
GACGAACGCUGGCGGCGUGCUUAACACAUGCAAGUCGAACGGAAAGGCCCUGCGUUUGUGGGGUGCCCGAGUGGCGAACGGGUGAGUAACACGUGAGUAACCUGCCCUUCACUUUGGGAUAACUUCAGGAAACUGGGGUUAAUACCGGAUAGGAGCUCCUGCUGCAUGGUGGGGGUUGGAAAGUUUCGGCGGUCGGGGAUGGACUCGCGGCUUACCAGCUUGUUAGUGGGGUAGUUGCUGACCAAGGCUUUGACGGGUAGGCGGCCUGAGAGGGGGAACGGCGACAAUGGGACUAAGAUACGGCCCAGACUCGUACAGGAGGCAGCAGUGGGGAGUAUUGCACAGUGGGCGGAAGCCUGAUGAGGAAACGCCGCGGGCGGGAUGACGGCCUUCGGGUUGUGAACCGCUUUCGCCUGUGACGAAGCGUGAGUGACGGUAAUGGGUGAAGAAGCACCGGCUAACUACGUG